AUACCUGCACAUGUACCUGUAUUUUUUAAUUAGACGUGUCCAAAAAUUUUCAAUAUUUUAAAUAAAAGUAUCUUCCUUUUGUAUAGAGGAAAUAGAAAGAAAAAAAAAUAUUCUUUUGUCAAUUAAAUUAUUCAAAUAUACGUAGAAAUAGAUUCAUUCGUAUGCACAGAAUUGAAUAUUUAAUCGAUAUAAAAAUGACAAGGGGAUUCACCUUAUAUAAACAAUUGCUACUUUCACAAUCAACAAAAAUAAUUGAUUUACUAUUAAUAAAUACGACAAUUACGAAAUACAUUUAUUUUAUGUGUAAAUGAUGAUAAUUUUACACGAUGAAACUUACUAUAAAAGUAGAAAACCACAACCGGAUUUAGGCCGGAUUGGAAAUUUAUUGCGAUUCAUUUGGAAUGCUGAGAAAAAGACAGUUUUCGACAGAACUGCAAAAGAAUGGGCAAAUAGAUUGUUGACAGUUCAAUGUGUCGUGUGGACUUCUAAUCUAGUGCAAUCCUCUAACUACUAUUUGGAUUUUCAAAUAAUCAUUGAAAAAUAAUUGGAGGAACUGAAGACAUUAAAGAAAUAUGUUCAAGUUAUUAAAAUAUAACUAAAUAAUACAUUUAGUUAAUUUAGCAUUUAGUAAAGUUAGCAUUAUAUGACUUGGAAACUAGUAAGUAAUAUACAUACGGAAUUUAAAAAAUAAAGUAGUUAAAAAUAAAAAUAAAAUGAUGAUAAAAACAGAAAGAAUAAGUAUCUUCUUUAAUGAACUUGUAAGCACCUUUAAAUUUAUUUGAAUAUUUGUUGCAUAGGAAGGAUCGAAAAAACAAGUUCUUAUCUCGAAUAUGAAACAUUCAACGCGCACAAUCAAUCACGGAUAUGUACCGUAAUGAAAUAGCAUGAAGGUGUAUUAGCGGGCGCAGCACCGAUUGCAACACCAAAUUCCCUACGCAAUUAGAAUAUGUUUUAUCGAUUAGUAACAAAAUUUCACUACUUCGAUACGUCGCGUAUGGAAGAGAAUAAAGCUUCUAUCUUAGAUUUUAAUGAAUAUAACGUAAGUCAACGUUGGAACGUCGAUAAUUGAUAAUAAAAAAGAAGCAUUAAACGUUAGUUUCCGUUCUUAUCUUGUUUCUUUAGGCACGAUUGCAGCACCAUCAGCGGAUUUUCUUAGGUGAUAGAAGCGAAGUGGGGGCGCGAUGGAAGGUUCGCUGUAGUGAUUACGUCGGCAGGAGUGUUGACGUUUAUUUGAAGGAUACGGAAGCUAUGAAUAGUCAAAAAGAAAUAAUUAGUGGAAUAAUAAGGAAUAGAUUUUAGUGACUUAUUUGCAUAUUGGAAUGCUUUAACAAAGGGUGCUUGGUGUGUCUAUUUAAUGACUAUAUGCUACUACUAAACUCGAUGCGCGUGAGGGCUUUGGCUCUAACUGCAACGCGCCAUAUUGGUUUAAGACAAUUGCUCGUGUUAGUGGGGGCCUGACUGAUACAACUUCUCUAUCAAAUCAACGUAGAAUUAUUUAUUUCACAAUCAUGGAGGAAACCAAAAUAAUUUACCAUAUUGACGACGAAGAGACACCUUAUUUGGUCAAACUGACUAUUUCGCCGGAGAGGGUGACUUUGGCAGAUUUUAAAAAUGUCCUCAACCGACCGAAUUACAAGUAUUUCUUCAAAUCAAUGGACGAUGACUUCGGGGUUGUAAAAGAGGAGAUUGUGGACGACGAUGCACAUCUUCCAUGCUUCAAUGGACGAGUAGUCUCAUGGUUGGUUUCUGCUGAAGGCAGUAAUGUAUCGGAUGGUGUUUCACAUUGCACUGAUUCUGUAGCGCAUAGUGAAGUGAAGCACGAUCGCAUUGAUCAUGUAACACCAGGGCAUACAAAUCGUGGUCCACCACCACUUUCGCACGAUGAUACCUUAACAGAAACUGAAAGUAUUAUAAGUAGCCGACAAGGUCAUCAUUUACAUAAAAGUUCAAGACAUCAUACAGACAAAUAUGAAAAAUAUAACAAAUACAAUGGAUUGCGAAUAAAUGGUCAUUCUAAGCAUCGUUCCGGUCAUGGCUAUGAAACUGCCUCUAUAUUGAGCUCAGAUCUAGAAACGACAACAUUUUUAGAAUCGGAUGAUGAUGCGAGUAGUCGUAUUACAUCGACAACAGGUCGUCAUACUAAUAUGAGUAGUGCAGUUGACAGAGCAACUUUAGAUCGACGUAGACCUCAAAGAAGAAGAAGACACAGAUUACCUCCUAUGUCUCGAACUUCUUCAUUUAGCAGUAUCACAGAUAGCACAAUGUCUUUGAAUAUCAUAACGGUCUCAUUAAAUAUGGAUACUGUAAAUUUCCUUGGAAUAAGUAUUGUUGGUCAAAGUAAUAAGGGUGGAGAUGGAGGAAUUUAUGUUGGAUCUAUAAUGAAAGGGGGAGCUGUAGCCUUAGAUGGCCGAAUAGAACCCGGUGACAUGAUUCUUCAAGUUAAUGACAUUAAUUUUGAGAACAUGUCUAAUGAUGAGGCGGUAAGAGUUCUACGUGAAGUCGUCCAAAAACCAGGACCAAUCAAGUUAGUUGUUGCUAAAUGUUGGGAUCCAAAUCCGAAAGGUUAUUUUACCAUACCAAGAACAGAGCCGGUGCGUCCUAUAGAUCCGGGUGCAUGGGUGGCACAUACAGCAGCUAUACGAGGCGAAGGUUUCCCACCUCGUCCACCAAGUGCAACAACAUUAACAUCCACAUCGAGUAGUCUUGCUAGUACUCUACCAGAUACAGAACGACCACUAGAGGAACUUCACCUUACCAUUAAUACAGAUAUGCCAACAAUAGUACGUGCUAUGGCACGUCCAGAUUCGGGUCUAGAAAUUCGUGAUCGCAUGUGGCUUAAAAUAACAAUUCCGAACGCAUUUAUUGGGGCAGAGGUUGUUGAUUGGCUUAGCACACACGUAGAAGGAAUUAUUGAUCGUCGUGAAGCCAGAAAAUACGCAUCAUUGAUGCUAAAAGCUGGAUUCAUCAGACAUACUGUGAAUAAGAUCACGUUUUCUGAACAAUGUUAUUACAUAUUUGGUGAUUUGUGUUCUGCUAUGAGCAGCAUGAAAUUGGACUGUGACACGGUUGGACCUUUACCACCUCCUAAUGCUUGGGACAUGCCUUACUCAGGGACAUAUGCACCUCAUUCUGCGACUGGUUACAGUCCAAUGCCAUUUAAUUUUACUAACGAACCAACUGUAUAUGGAUAUCAUAGAGAAGAAAGUGUUCAUAGUGGUUCAGGUGGUAGCAGUGCAGGUAGUGAACAUAUUUGUAAGGAACCUAUCCACGACUUGAAGUCUUGUUCUUCAGCAUCUGAAUCGGAAUUACAUAUCCCAUCUGUGCCAAGUAUGCCAAGUAAGAAUUCUGGUAAUGGGAAUGGUUCGAAUGGUAAAAGGUCUAAUGGAAGCCAUAGUCGGUCCAGUGGGUCCGAGCAAUCGGUACAGACAGGAACUGGUUCAGGAACUCAACAAAAUCAACAAGACUUAUCUGGGUGACGUAUGCACGAAGAAUGUCGCACGCGGACAAGUAAUUUGGACAACAAUACCAGAGAUAAUAUUUAUGAAGAAGACAUUUUGGAGUACCAGUUUCUGCAUAAGUGAAGAUAUUUGUUAUAUCGUAAUACGUAUACGCAAUGACAUUAAUAGACGUAAACAGGAAGUUAUGAUAUAAUUCUACGUCGUUUUAUUAAGUGGACGGAAGUAGCACACGCGAAACAUAUGUUUAUAUAUUUAAUAGGCCAAUUUUGAUAAAAUGCUGUAGAAGGUAAAAUGUCCAAGCUCAUGUAAUAACGGUUUAUAAUGUCUAUACAUAAUAGAGUUAAGGUAAUUGGAAUCUCUAUGUGACAAAUGUGUCCUUUUUUGAAAUGUUGUUACGGUUUGUGUUAAUUCAUACAAAGCAUUUGCAAUACUAGGGGUUGUAUUAUUUAUGCAGUAUUUUCUAUAUACAUAUACGCGCAUAUGCGUAUAUAUAUUUAGAGAAUAAAUAUAUAUAUUACAAAUUACUGCAAAUACGUGCAGAUCGAUAGAGCUUAUUAAUUUUUGUAAGUACAUCCAGUAUCGGCUCCUCUGUUUAAUAACGCAUUUGAAAAAUCUCAUAACUUUCAUUAAUCAUUAUUAAUAAUUAUACUUUUGUAGCUUUCCAUUAUUAGAGUAAUUUUUUUUCAAAUUAUUUCAAAUGCUAUGUCUCGUUAAAUCUUAGUUAUUUUCUUUUUCAAUUUAUAAACAAGGGGAGAUUUUGGAAGUAAAAUGAUAAAAAAAAAACAUUUGAUAAAUUCACGAAUACAACUAUGUAUAAACUGUUUGCAUAUACGACAAUAUAAUUAACGCCCAUCGUAGAAAAAAAAUUGUAAUAAAACAGAAGUAUCAAAUUUAUAGAAUGUGAACGGACGAUUUAUACACCUAUAAACGAUAUUUUUUCCAAGAUGGAAAACAUCUUGUAGCAUUAAAAUUAAUUGUGAUAUUACAACAAUUUCGAACUGAUUUCAAAAGUGCAACAAAAAGAAUUAGUUGCAAUGAAAUUAAAGAAAAUAUUUCGGACUAAUCAAUGUAGCCAGCCCUUACGUACAUAAGCAUACACACAGCAAACAGCAGACACACUUCAUUCCGAUUUUUAAUGAGUCGUAAAAGUGAUUUUUUAAGUGCGCAUACUGAAAACUCGUGGAAAACUCACUUAUAUGUAUACGCAUAUAUAAACACAUAUAGAUAUACAUAUUAUAUUUAUUUAUAAAGGAAUGUAUAUAAAUUUUUUAUUGUUUUUACCUAAAAUUCUUUAUGUGUAUAACUUGCGUGGAAACAACUCGUGCGUUUUUCAACCGCUGUGAGUAUUACGUAAUAAAGUAAUUAACAUUAACAA
rnacentral:misc_RNA from 1 species